rnacentral:lncRNA from 1 species
CGUUACAAAUCCUCCUCCUCAUCAUAACCAUUCUGUUUUCCGCAUAAUAUCCAAAAACCUAUCAUGUCUGAAGAGAAACACCACCGCGGUCUCUUCCACCACCACAAGGAUGAAGACAAACCCUCAGACUACCCUCAGUCUGGCUACUCUGAUGAAGGACGUCCCGGCGGCCUCGGUGGUGGUUACGGCGACACCAAUGAUUAUUCUGGUGAAGGACGUACCGGCGGCCUAGGUGGUGGCUAUGGCGACACCAAUGCUUAUUCUGGUGAAGGACGUCCCGGCGGCUAUGGCGGCUAUAACGAGACCACUGCUUACUCUGAGGAAAGAGUUGAAAGACCCGGCGGUGGCCGGUACAGUGAGACUACUGCGGCAUAUGGCAGCACCACCACUCAUGAAUCUGAACUUGAUUACAAGAAGGAGGAGAAGCACCACAAGCAUCUCGAGCACCUCGGCGAGGCCGGUGUAGCUGCUGCCGGCGCUUUUGCCUUGGUACGUAUUGUAUUUUAACCCACCUCUAUAUAUAUAUAUAUUAGAAUAAUGCUAAUAAGACCAAAUUUUGAAAACUAAAUGAUGUGGUUGUUGAUAAUGAACUUAUUACUCAAGUCUUGAUUAACAUGCUUAUUUUCUAAUAGUGACACAUUAUUUGGUUUAGAAAUUUGGUCUUCCUAACUUUAUCAUUCUCAAAAUUUUCAUGAUUUUGAUAGGGUAAUACGGGAGAUCAAAAUUUCUAAACCAAAUUUGCAAACCAAUAGAUGAUUGGAUUAUUAAUUAAGUAUCGAUUGUUUGUUUCUUAUUAACGACAUAUCAUUUGAUUUACAAUUUAGUUAAAAAAAAUUUAUUCUUUCUGUCAUAUCCUUUUGAAUAUUUGAUCACUUUACUCUUUAUCACUUUACCCUUGAUCACUUUACCCAUACUCUUGCAACCGAAUCACCGUCCUCCUCCUUAACCUUCAUUUUUUUGUCUUACAGUACUCCAAUCUAUCAACUCUGUCCAUUGCAACUUUAAUUGUGAAGAAAAUUAAAGUCCUAUCGUAAAAUUAAUUAGUGAUAUGGAGAGUUGCGCAAUUAUUGAUGGACUAGGUAGGUAAGAUACGGAAUCAAAGUCUACCAUUAACAAUGGACGGAAUUGAUGAACCAUAUAGGUAUGUAAGAUACGGAAUCAAAGUCCUCAUGUAAAUGGUACAGUUGCAAUCAGGAGAAGAAAUGAGUUAACUGAUACCUUCGUAAUAGUUCAUGUAGAGUUUUGAUAUUAUUAAGCCUUAACCACCUGAUCUUAUAUAUACGAGGACAAAUCUAAUCAAAUAUGUGUUAAUUUCAAGGUUUGUUUUACAUUGAUGUGAGAUCGAUGCUAGCAAGAUAUAUAACUUAUGUCAGUUUCUAUAUGAUGUGUGUAGCAUGAGAAGCACAAUGAAAAGAAAGACCCAGAGCAUGCCCACAGGCACAAGAUAGAAGAGGAGAUUGCUGCAGCAGCUGCAGUUGGUUCGGGUGGAUUUGCCUUCCAUGAGCAUCAUGAGAAGAAAGAGACAAAGGAAGAAGAGGAAGAGGCUUAUGGAAAGAAGAAGCACCACCACUUCUAGAUCUAUGUGGAUUGUGGAACAUCAUCUUUUGACUACAUAUGCAAUGUUGUGUUUUUACUAGUUAUCAUGUGGUGUGAUCAGUGAGAGUGUGAUGCUUAAUCUCAACAAUAUCGCUACAAUAGUUGAGUGGUUAAAUGUCCUUUUCAAUUAAUGGGUGCUAUCUGGUUUUCUUUUAGCAUGCCAUCUAUGUAUGUAUGUAUGUAUGUAUGUCAUUGUUAUUGUUCAUAAUAAUACUGUUUACUCGGUGUUUAUUUCCUAGUGGCCACAUCUCAUUUUAAAUGAUUUCUUCAUACCAUUAAUUUUUUAAAUGUAAAGACUCAGUAUCCAUAUAACUACGAAAAUUUUUGACAAAACAAAAA